GCUUACGGCCAUACCACCCUGAACACGCCCGAUCUCGUCCGAUCUCGGAAGCUAAGCAGGUCGGGCCUGGUUAGUACUUGGAUGGAGACCGCCUGGGAAUACCAGUGCUGUAAGCU
rnacentral:rRNA from 1 species